CCCUUUUCUAAAUUGUUUAUUUCGUUGGUCCAACACAUCCGUGCACGUCAUUGGUAAGACAAAUUCCACGCCAUGGAGCAGGCCACUACUUCGCCCGUUCUUCUCCCAUGCCUCGCAUGCAUGACCACUGGGUAUAUGGGAUUCGUUCGUAGAUGGAUGCACUCAGGUACCGACUUCACCGCGCAUGGGCACCCCUCCGCAUGUGCAUGUCAACCAGCUCCUUCUCCACAUGUCAGCAGCGAACCGCACAACCUUUCCCUUUGUUUAUUCAUUUCAGCGAGGCUAACGUCACCAUGAGGUCAGGGAUGACUUCAUCCAUAAACACCCCACGUUCACUGACAGCCGGGUCCCUGGGCUUCGCACCGUAGCGCCAGUCGUAUAUACCGGUCGACAGAAUACGAAUCACAACUAACCGCCAUGGCAGUUGCAUCUUCCUGUUGGGAGCUUCUCCGCGUAGCAAACCGAGCGCAUGGGCCGCCGGCAUCCCGCCAAAAUCGCCCAGAAAUCGGACCUUGCUCUAGUAUAAAAUCCCUUGGCCGCCUCAUCCUCUCAUCAUCUCGGCUGCCAGAAACAGAGAUUUUGGCGCCACCUGAGAGAGCAACGAGAGAUCGAGGAAAUCCUCCACCGGCGUCGUCGGGUCAUCGGUGACCAUUCCGGGCGCUUCUUCGUAUCCCCAGGAAUUCUCUCGUGGCCCCAGUGCUCUGUGAAGAUCAGUGGGUGCCCUUCGAUUUCUCACCGUCGUGGGAAAUCAUCGUCGUGCUGCACUUCUUCAACGCUGGACCCCUGCUCUGUCCGAAAUCCCGCUCGAGGUUACGAGUCAUCUGAAGAAUCACCCUGGUAACUGGAAUCUCAAGUCCCAGGCAAGUUGUGCCCUUGAUCACUUCUUUUUACCCAGCCAUGUUCUAAUUAAUCAUAAUGAUCUGCAUAGGUUAAUUUUGAUGGGACCCAAUAGGUUACCCUAGUUUGAUUAUCUUUAUACCUUGUUACCACUGAACUUUUUGGGUAGUACUUGCUAGUGCUUUAUGUGGUUUUGGGUAUGAAGAUACAUUACUCAUGAUUAUACUUUUGUUAUCCGUUGUUAUUUAUCGUUCAUGAUAAGAUCAUUAUGUUAAUUGGAACAUGGAGCGACCACCCGGGAAAACAGUGCUACCACAAGGGUAUAAUGGGACGCCCUUGGCUGAUUAAUUAGGAAAGCUAGUGGAGGACUACCUUACCCGAAAGGGGCAAGGGCAGUAGGGGAGUGGUCAGUGUAGGGAGACCCUCGGGAGGAUUUUGCUGCGAUGGCGGUCCUGCAAGGGAAUUCCUGCAUUGGAGCUUCCUAUAAACUGUAGCGGGUUUUCUGAAGCUAGUGGAACUUUGUAAAGGCCUCGUAGUGUUACCCUGCCUCGCCUCCUCGGUAGAGGUGUAUGGGAAGUCGCGAUCCCUUGGCAGAUGGGUAACAUGACUUGUGGGUAAAGAUGCGCCACCUCUGCAGAGUGUAAAACUGGUAUACUAGCCGUGCUCACGGUCAUGAGCAGCUCGGACCCUCACAUGAUUAAAUUAUGGAACUUAAACUCAAUUUGUCAUAUGCAUUGCAUCGCAGGUGAUGUUGUUACUUUUGUUCUACUACUUAAUUGGGCUGGUAUUUACUUAUACUUAGUAAUUGCUAAUAAAAUUUUGACCAACUUUAAAAGCAAUGCUCAGCUCUAACCAUCCUCUUUGGUAAGCCUUACACUUCACGUGAGCUCCCACCUUUGGCGAGUUCAUGCACAUUAUUCCCCACAACUUGUUGAGCGAUGAACGUAUGUGAGCUCACUCUUGCUGUCUCACACCCCCCCCACAGGUCAAGAGCAGGUACCACAGGAUGAGGCGCUUGGAGGAUGCUGCGAUGUGUUCGUGAGAGGUCUAGGUCGUCGUCUCCCAGUCAACUUUGGGUUGCUGGAUCGUUUCCUCAUAUGAUGUAAUUAUUUCUGUACAGAACUCCUGUUAUAUAGUAAAGAUGUGACAUUCGAUCCUGUGCCACUAUGCAUCAUAUGUGUGAGACUUGGUCCCAGCACACCUGGUGUUUAUGUUCGCGCCCGGGUUUUGGACCCCUAAAACCCGGGUGUUACAGAAGUGGUAUCAGAGGAAUGUUGACUGUAGGACGAAACCUAGAUAGAACUGGACAACCAAUACUUACUUAUCUUUGCUACUCUGAUUCUUUUCUAAACUUCUCUUAAUCUUUCUCAUCUAUUUCCGCUUUACUCUGAUUAUUCUUACCUUUUCAUUCUAAAGACAAAUGUGGAUUUCACACUUUGAAAUCCUGUGCCUAAAGUGACUUUUAGGAAUAGGCGACCUAAUCUUAGGAACAAAAACAAAACUAUUUUUAUAGGUAUCUAUAUACUUGAAUGUUUGUUCUUAUGAUACUUGUCUGAUUUGGAUCUUUGAUUGAGUGUGAUGGGUUGUGGAGUAAUGUCCACAAUUACAUCUACAUAUACAUAUAGGCAUAAAUAUAAAUAAAUAAAAUUCAUAAGAUUAAAAAAACUAGAUUAUCCUCCAUUAAAGUGUAUCUAUUUUAGAUAGAUCCAUCUUAUCUUAAAAGAUUCUUUCUUAUCUUAGUAGAUUCAUCUUAUCUUGAAAAGAUUUUAUGUCAUCCUAAUAGAUCUAACUGACCUCAAAAGAUUCUACCUUAUCCUUAUGGAUUCAUCUUGCCCUAAUUAGCAUAUUUAUCCCACUCUAGAAAAACAACCAUGAGCUAAUCCAAAAUUUAUUUAGAUCUUAACUAGUCUAAUCCAGUCAUAUCCAACCUAAUCUAGAUUUUAUCUAAUCUAUUAUGAUCUAAUCCAGAGUAAGUUACUUAAUGCUCUUACAAAAGAUAAGGCCAUACCCUUAAGCCUAAAUUGGUGACUUAGAUCAACUCGGCCAUACACAACAACUUGACCUACAUAAUAGGUUACAUAACCUAUCCCACCCAUCUAGAAUCAAACAACCAAACCAGAUUCAGACUAAUCUCAUUUAACUCAUAGCCAUCUACUAAACUAGCUGCUCCACCUACUACUUUAUCUUAACUACAUGUCCCUAAUUCGGAUAACAACUUCAAGAACGAAGAUCGAAGAUGAUCGACCUCAUCAAAUCAAGGAAGGAUAAGAUUCAAGCCAGAUCUUCAAAAGAAUCAAGAGCCACAAUCUUCGAUAGAGUCUUUUCUUACCCUACUCUUUCUUACCCCAAACCUAUAACUGCCUUAAAAUAUCUUUUAUCCUGCAUAAUAAAGUGGCUAUACCCAUAUAGACCCCUGCUUUCCUAAUCAACUGAUAAUUUGCGAUAAAAAAAGAGUUUUGGUAUUAAAAUCAAUUAGAAACUAACCCAUAGACUACAAACAAUUUAUUCUACAUCCUUUUUCUUACAAAUCUCGAGGGCGAGAUUUCUGUUAAGGGGGUAGGAUUUGUAAAACCCAAAUUUGGUAAAAAUAAAUAAAUAAAUAUUUAUAAUAGUGAUUUGAAAAUUUUAACUAGAAAUAAAACUCCAAAAAUAAAUAAUAGAAAGAGUUUCUAAAUUUAUUUGAGUGGAUCAUUUCCUUCAUGAAUUAUAUAACUAGAAACAUUCUUAAAAAAAUGAAUUUGAAUUAUCUCUAGAUAGAGAUUUUACAUUUCUUUUUUUUAUAAUAAGUAAUGAAUAAUUAUUUUUGAAAUAACAUUUGUUUUUAUCACAUCUUCAAAAUAAUAUUUUCCUAAAGGAAUAUUGUGUGUACAUUUCGUAUUUGAAGCAUUUGACUAAACAAACAAUUAAUUAAUUAAUAUAUAAAUAAAACACUUGCAUUGUCAUGCGAAAGCUUUAUUUGUUUGUGCAUAAAAAACUCCACGGAUUUGAAAGUAAAACUUGAAACGUAAGUAAAUAACAGAAAAUACGUAAGAAAACAAUAGAAAGAAAUGAAAAUGAUAAAAGAAAAAGGAAUGUCCAUAAGUCCUCCACCAGCCCUUGUACGUAGGUAACCAUGCAAGCGUGAGUUUUUUUCCCUUUUCUAAAUUGUUUAUUUCGUUGGUCCAACACAUCCGUGCACGUCAUUGGUAAGACAAAUUCCACGCCAUGGAGCAGGCCACUACUUCGCCCGUUCUUCUCCCAUGCCUCGCAUGCAUGACCACUGGGUAUAUGGGAUUCGUUCGUAGAUGGAUGCACUCAGGUACCGACUUCACCGCGCAUGGGCACCCCUCCGCAUGUGCAUGUCAACCAGCUCCUUCUCCACAUGUCAGCAGCGAACCGCACAACCUUUCCCUUUGUUUAUUCAUUUCAGCGAGGCUAACGUCACCAUGAGGUCAGGGAUGACUUCAUCCAUAAACACCCCACGUUCACUGACAGCCGGGUCCCUGGGCUUCGCACCGUAGCGCCAGUCGUAUAUACCGGUCGACAGAAUACGAAUCACAACUAACCGCCAUGGCAGUUGCAUCUUCCUGUUGGGAGCUUCUCCGCGUAGCAAACCGAGCGCAUGGGCCGCCGGCAUCCCGCCAAAAUCGCCCAGAAAUCGGACCUUGCUCUAGUAUAAAAUCCCUUGGCCGCCUCAUCCUCUCAUCAUCUCGGCUGCCAGAAACAGAGAUUUUGGCGCCACCUGAGAGAGCAACGAGAGAUCGAGGAAAUCCUCCACCGGCGUCGUCGGGUCAUCGGUGACCAUUCCGGGCGCUUCUUCGUAUCCCCAGGAAUUCUCUCGUGGCCCCAGUGCUCUGUGAAGAUCAGUGGGUGCCCUUCGAUUUCUCACCAUCGUGGGAAAUCAUCGUCGUGCUGCACUUCUUCAACGCUGGACCCCUGCUCUGUCCGAAAUCCCGCUCGAGGUUACGAGUCAUCUGAAGAAUCACCCUGGUAACUGGAAUCUCAAGUCCCAGGCAAGUUGUGCCCUUGAUCACUUCUUUUUACCCAGCCAUGUUCUAAUUAAUCAUAAUGAUCUGCAUAGGUUAAUUUUGAUGGGACCCAAUAGGUUACCCUAGUUUGAUUAUCUUUAUACCUUGUUACCACUGAACUUUUUGGGUAGUACUUGCUAGUGCUUUAUGUGGUUUUGGGUAUGAAGAUACAUUACUCAUGAUUAUACUUUUGUUAUCCGUUGUUAUUUAUCGUUCAUGAUAAGAUCAUUAUGUUAAUUGGAACAUGGAGCGACCACCCGGGAAAACAGUGCUACCACAAGGGUAUAAUGGGACGCCCUUGGCUGAUUAAUUAGGAAAGCUAGUGGAGGACUACCUUACCCGAAAGGGGCAAGGGCAGUAGGGGAGUGGUCAGUGUAGGGAGACCCUCGGGAGGAUUUUGCUGCGAUGGCGGUCCUGCAAGGGAAUUCCUGCAUUGGAGCUUCCUAUAAACUGUAGCGGGUUUUCUGAAGCUAGUGGAACUUUGUAAAGGCCUCGUAGUGUUACCCUGCCUCGCCUCCUCGGUAGAGGUGUAUGGGAAGUCGCGAUCCCUUGGCAGAUGGGUAACAUGACUUGUGGGUAAAGAUGCGCCACCUCUGCAGAGUGUAAAACUGGUAUACUAGCCGUGCUCACGGUCAUGAGCAGCUCGGACCCUCACAUGAUUAAAUUAUGGAACUUAAACUCAAUUUGUCAUAUGCAUUGCAUCGCAGGUGAUGUUGUUACUUUUGUUCUACUACUUAAUUGGGCUGGUAUUUACUUAUACUUAGUAAUUGCUAAUAAAAUUUUGACCAACUUUAAAAGCAAUGCUCAGCUCUAACCAUCCUCUUUGGUAAGCCUUACACUUCACGUGAGCUCCCACCUUUGGCGAGUUCAUGCACAUUAUUCCCCACAACUUGUUGAGCGAUGAACGUAUGUGAGCUCACUCUUGCUGUCUCACACCCCCCCACAGGUCAAGAGCAGGUACCACAGGAUGAGGCGCUUGGAGGAUGCUGCGAUGUGUUCGUGAGAGGUCUAGGUCGUCGUCUCCCAGUCAACUUUGGGUUGCUGGAUCGUUUCCUCAUAUGAUGUAAUUAUUUCUGUACAGAACUCCUGUUAUAUAGUAAAGAUGUGACAUUCGAUCC